GUGUGUGUGUCUGUGUGUCUGUGUGUCUGUGUGUGUCUGUGUGUGUGUUCAGCGAUUUCUUUCCUUUUGGAUUGGUAAUGUUUAACCACUGCCUGUACCCUCAUCAUAUCUUGGAAGUAGCUAACUCAUUUCUGUUUUACAGUCUCAUAGCUGAAUGGAAGUCUAGCCUGGUCUCAGAUAAGACUUUGAACUUUGGACCUUUGUGUUAAGACUGGAAUGAGUUAAGACUUUGGGAGACUAUUGGGAAGACAUGAUUGUAUUUUGUAAUGUGAGAAGAAGAUGAGAUUGAGGGGUCGGGGCUGAAUAAUAUGGUUUGGCUGUCACCUGAGCAGCAAGGUCUGGUCAGUGGCAGCCUGGUCAGUGGGAGCCUGGUCCCUGGGGACCUGGUUAAUGGAAACCUGGGUCAGUGGGGGUCUGAUGAGUGAGGUCCUGUGGAGCGGGGUCCUAGUCCGUGAAGGCCUACUCAGCGGGGUUAGUCACUUGAGACAUGGCCAGUGGGUACCUGGUCGCUUUGGCCUUGCCAGUGGGGGCUUCGUCACAGGAGCCUGAUCAGUGUGGGCUUUCUCAGUGGACCUAGUCAGUUGGGACUUGGUCAGUGAGGCCUAUUUAAUGGGGGUGUGGUCAGCAGGGGUGUGCUUUGAGAGGGUAUCAUUAGGGGGAUCUAGUAGUGAGGGUCUGGAUGAGUGGGGACCUAGUGGUAGCCAGUCAUUUGGUGUAUGGUGGGUGGAAACCUGGGCUGCCGGUGCUUGGUCAGCGAAGACCUGGUCAUAUGGAGCGUAGUGGUGGCCUUGUCAGCACGGGCUGGGUCUCUGGUGACCAGGUCAAAAGGUGUUCUUCAGUGGAGGCCUGGUCACACGGGACCUAGUCAGCAGGGCCUGGUGGGCAUGUCCUCAUCAGUGAGGCCCUUGUCAUUGGGGCCCCGAUCAGGGCAGCCUGAGCAGUGGCACCUAGUUAGUGGGGGCCUGAUUCCUGUCAGAAUCUCUGAGCAUGAUCUCCCAGGUCCAUCCAAAUGCCUGCUUUGUCCACUUUUGACUGGGCCAUGGGACACCACUGGGCCAACCCAACUGUGCACAGGGCCCUCCAUAAUGUGCAUUGCACCUGGCAUCCCCCAGCAUGCUCAGCAGCCCCCAGUGACCAGGUGCCUGCUGGCCAGGCCUCACUGACCUGGUCCUUACUGAUAAGGCCUCACUGACCAGGUUCCACCAAUCGUGACCCCAUUGCCUGAUCAGGGAGGACUUGGUCAGUGGUGGCUUUUGAAGCACUAGUCUCAUCAGUGGUGACCUGGUCAGUCGGGAUCUGAGCAAUGGGUGCCUGUUAAUGGGGCCAGCUCUCUAGGGUCCAGGUCAGGGGCAUCUGGUAACCUCAGGACUGAUUAGUAAGAGGCUUGUCAGUGGCAGCCUGUUCCCUGGAGGCCUGGUCAGUGGGGCCUCAUCUGUGGGGCCAGCAAUAAGGUAUGAUUGGCGGAACCUGAUCAGUGAGGGCUGGUCAGGAAGGUCCUGCUCAGUAGGCCUUAUCAGUAAGGACCUGGUCAGUGAGGCCUUGUCAGUAGGGACCUGGUCAGUGAGGGCUUGUCAGCAGGGCCUGGUCAGUGAGGGCUUGUCAGCAGGGCCUGGUCAGUGAGAACUGGUCAGCAGGGACCUGGUCAGUGAAGCCUGGUCAGCAGGGACCUGGUCAAUGGGGGCUGCUGAUCAUGCUGGGAGAUGCCAGGUGCAAUGCACGUCAUGGUGGGCCCUGUGCACAGGUGGGAUGGCCCAGUGGUGUCUAACAGUCCGGUCAAAAGUGGACAAAGCAGAUGUUUGGAUGGACCUGGGAGAUCUUGCUCAAAGAUGAUGACAGGACAUAGGUAAAGGAAGGGCCAGAGUGGCCGGAGAGAUGGUCACAGUCUAUGGGCUGGACAGAAUGGAGGAAGUUAAGAAACAGGCAGGGUGGGCAGCUGGAGUGCAGGGAGAGGCGGUUUCAUGCUGGGAGGUCAGACCCUGUGAGGGCUUUUGGGGCUUCAGGUGGGGUGGGCUCCAGUUGCACCCUCAUUACACUGGGCAGUUCUCAGCCCAGACUUCCUGGACCUUGGCUGAGUGAUGUGGUCACUCCCUGGGGGACUGCUGUCAGGCCCCGGCCACCCACCCUGGGCAGCACUGUCCCAUCUCAGGACUGGACUCUCUCAGAGCCUCCAGAGGGCACAGCCUCCAGCCUCGGAGGGGCAGCCGUUUGCUACAGCUUGACCUCUCCAUGGGCCUGGAACAUCCCCUGCCAGCCCUGCGCUUCCUCUUCUGCCAGGUCUUACUUUUCCAGUGCCAGUCAGCAGGGAGUUCCUGUUCUCCCUGCCUUUUGUGUCUCCUGGGCUGAAACUUGGUGUGGAUUUGGACAGGGAUGGUGCUUCCCUCAGGCCCACUUAGGGAGGGGACUGGCUCCCAGUCUGGCACAGGUCCUCAGCUCUGCCUUGGUCGCCUUAGAGUGAGAUGGAUUGCUCAGUGCCCUGAAGGUGAAGGUCAGUGUCCCUGCUGUGUGGGAGGCUGGUCUAGGGAUGGAGGACUUGACAGUUUCUCCCAGGCUGUCAGGCCUUGGCAGCACUGUCCUGUCUCAGGACUCAGAAAGUCCAGUCCUGAGAUGGGAUGGUGCUGCCCAGGGUGGGUGGCCGGGGCCUGACAGCAGUCCCCCAGAAAGUGACCACAUCACCCAGCUGGGUUCUAGGGAGCCCAGGGUGCACCUGGAGCCCACUCCACCUGAUACCCCCACAGCCCUCGCAAGGUCUGACCUCCCAGCAUGCACCUGCAUCUCCCUGCACCCCAGCUGCCCACCCUGCCUGUUCCCUGACUUCCUCCAUUUUGUCCAGCAGGAUAAGCUGGACAGGGGGACAGCCUGUGUGCACAUUUGGUGGCAAGUAGGAGUGACACACCAUCCCUGGGAGGCCCCAUGGUUUUUGACAAGCCCAACCCCAGAACUCUGUCCAGGAGGGGGUUUUCCACACCAAAACCAAGAACUGCGAUUGUGGCUCAGGAAUCAGCACCUGCUAGUGCCAGGACAGUACUGGGAGGCUGGGACAUGACCAAAGCCCAUGAUGUCUGUGGCCUGAGGACGGCCUGUCUUGGAGCCAUAAGGCCAAGCCACAAUGACCAGUGGGUCAGAGGGGCUCAGCCCGUGUUUGUCCUUCCCUGGCUCCUUCUGGCUCAGUCCCAUCAGGGCCCUGGAGCCCACGACCCUGCAUCCAAGGUCCCCUCCAGGAAUCCUGGUGGCUCAGCUUUGUUGUGUUUCAUCUGAGAGUAAAAAUGUCAGAUGAGAUGCACAGAAAAAUGGCUCCAAGUGUUUAAUGACUAGAAGAAAUUGAGGAGCAGCAAGAAGGUAAUGUGUAGAGGGUGGGACCUCCAUGACCGACGUCUGCAGAGCCAGGGGUACAGGCAUCCAGUGCUGUGGGCUGGCACCACCUGCCUCUCAGAGGGUGGGUGGCACACCGUCCUUACCCGGAGGAUAGCAGGCCUGGUCACCAGCUUUUCUAAAACCGGUCCCUGCAAGUAUCACGUUGCUAAAAGAAAAUCUCAUGCCAGGGCCUGGACCACUUCUAGCUCAGGGGUUAGGGUUUUCUCUUGGUGACCUAAAUAAAAAACUAGGUCCAGACCAGAGUUCUUGACACUGAGCACUCAUCCACUCUGAAUUGUGGCAGGGGAGGCCUGGUCCUAAAUAUAGCUAACUUCUUUGAGGAACCACAGAGCCCAAGGCUAGAAACCUUCGGAAUCCUGUGGCACUGAUUAUCACUGGGGACCCCUGUGGCCUGUCUCACCGAGCACUGUUCCAUCUGUAGAUGUCUUGGCUGCUCUACAAGGGAGACCCCUUUCAGAUGUGGGGCUGGACAUGGUGACUCCUGCUGGAUGUCUAGAAUGUGGAAACCUAAGGAAAUACCAGGUACAGCCUUUCUGCGCUCAUCCAGAGCAGGACAAACAGGCCAGGUGGUGUCAGGAGCCCAGGCCUCCAGCUGGAGGGAACUUCGACCCUGCAGUGGGAGUAGGGGCCCAUCACACAUCCUAGGCAUAGAUGGUAACAUAGGCACUGCAGGUAAGCUGGGCUUGGUACCCCUGCCCCACCCCAGUUUCAGAAAGAAGCCAAACAAGGAGCUUUCUGCAGAAUAAAACCUCCUUUCCUUCCAGAAGCACCGCAGACUGUUUGGUGGUUGCCAUCUGUGGCAGUGAGCCUUUCGUCCAUUCUGAGGUUGUGAGUGCUGGCUUUUCCUCUUGGUCCUGCCCUACAGACCAUAAAGGAGAACAGCAAGAGGUCCCCAGCAAACCCCACAGAUGGCCCUGGACAUAAGCCACAUUCUGAGAAACAUGUCAUGGUCUGGGAGAGCUAAGGCAUCAAGAAUCCCAGUGAAUAUAUUGCCGCCACCUUGGAGGUCAGUGCCCUCAUAGUGUGACAGCACCAGCAGAUCUGCCUGAGCAUGGACUUCCUCUACUACCUCACUCCUGGGGGCGAGGCUUCUGCAGGGCCUGACUUGGAGCAAAACUUUUGACACUGUCGUCCUGGAGCAGCACUGCACCCGCACUAGCCAGGCUGUUGAUGACUUCCUCAAGGCCAAGGGCACGUUCAAGGCCUCAUACUUCAUUGAUGCAUUUGUGCUGAGCCAGGCGUGCUUCUCUAGGAACUUAAUUAAUUCAGGAGUAGAAUGGAGCUUGAGAUCGAGUGUCUGAUCAAGGAACUUGAACUUGAUCUGGAGGGCUCUAGGGAGCCGUGGAAGGUCUGGAUAAAGGAGGGACAGACAGACACGUUAUAGAGAUGACUGUAGAAGGCUGCCUGGAAGGAGUGAACAAGAGCCAAGAGACCAGGGAGGGAGCUUAUGGGGCAGGUCUGGCGAUGGUAAGGGAGGGAUCCUGCUUGGACGAAAGGUCUUCAGGGACUGUCUCAGGUUACACUCAGCUGCCCUCAGAGCUUGUGUGGUUCAGAGGUCUCGUCUCCAGGAUGAAAAUGGGAAGAAGUUGUCAGAUGAGGACAUAUAAAUGGAGGCCGGCGUCUUGAUGGGUGUCAGUGGCGGUCUCGGUGUGGGACUACUGUGGGAACAGGGGUCUCUCCAUCCAGGGAUGUGGUGGAUGGACCUUAUAUCACUCCAUUCUGCCCUUCAUUUCCCUUCCCCCUUUCUCUCCAGGGACUUGGUGUGUGGGCGCUGUCCAUCCUCUGGUGCUGAAGCAGCCAAGAGACCCAAACCUGCCUGGCUGCCUCUCAGGAUAUAACAACACAGCCAGUGACCUCUACUGGGCCCUACACAACCUCACAAGACACCAGAAACUGGGAGUGCUGGCAGCAUGUGGUGCAGGAGCCCCGAGGGCCCACAAUCCAGAAGACAUUGAAUGGUGGGUGCAGGGCCUCAUGGCCUGUUCCCCAGGCCCUCUCAUUGGCUCUCCUCCAAUUAGUGAAGGUGGAAAACGUUUUUGUCAAUUCUGCCAUUAUUGCCUAGCAGGAAAAGGAGCAGAGCCCAGAAGCAGGGCCUGGUACCCAGCCUGCCUAACAAGGGAGAAUUUUUAGGUUCUGUCGACAGAAAGAUCUGGGAGUCCAUAUCUAUCACCCAUGAACUUGCUGAGACAUCAGGAAAAUCAGGUUUUUUUUUUCCUGAACUACAUUUCUGCCAUCUGUAAAUUGAGGGGAAUUUCUUCUAUCCCAUGAGGCUGCUUGGAGAAUUGGUGACAGUGUGUGUAGAGCAGGUGCGACCCAGCAGGCAUUUGGUGUCCAGACCACUCCUCUUGCCCCUUGAUUUUCUGCCUAAAUUUGUGUUUUGUUCCCAAGAACUUCACUCUCCUUAAUUUUGCUCUUCCCCCUUUUUCCCACCUCAUCAUCUACUCCAUGCAUUCACCAGGAUCUAAGAGGGUUACAGUCAUGUAUGCACGUAUGUGUAUGUAUGUGUAUGUAUGCACUGUAUUGGCGCUGCAGUGUGGUGUGAUUGUGUGUGUGUGUUGGAGUCACUGAGUGACUAAAUUUCUCCACACCAGGUGGUGCUCCUGCUCAUUACUGGGGGCGCUGUCAGGGCCCCUGGCCUCAACCCCAGGUCUGACCCUUGCAGUGCAGCCAGGCCAUUCUAGAGGAAUCAUGCCCUUGGAUGGAGCCCUGAGGAGUGACUGCUCCCCACUCUGCUGAUAUCUCCUAGGAUCGCUACCCUAAGGAAGAACUGGCAGUAGAAUUACUGUCCUACAGUCAUCUCCACAGAAAGUUUUUAUAUUUGAAUCUAUGCCUCAGGAUCUACUUCCAGGAAACUCAAACUAAGACACACAUUUUUCUGUCAGCAUCUCCAAUCCCCAUAGACCUGUCAUUGUGCUGUUUUUACCAAAAAGGAACAUGAGGAUCAGAGAGAGAAAGUCACUUGCCCAAAGUCACACAGCUGAACAGUGGUAGAGUUCAAUUUUGACCAUGGGCUGUCUGGCCCCAAGGUGGAUGCUUGCUCCUCUCCCAUGGUGUUUUGUGGGUCUCCUUCCUUAGUUUUUGAUAAGAAACACCCUUUCCCCUUUCAUUGGGAUUGUUUCUGUGGACCCCACACUGAGAUUUCCCCUGGUUGGGCAAUGGGCAGGUGGGGGUGGAGGGAGCAACCCUUUAGAAACAACAAUGCCAAACAAAUCCCAUUUGGGAAGUUCGUGCUAAGUGUCAUGGGUCCUCUGGAAUUUCCUGAAGCUUUCCUGUCCUCCCCACCCCCCACCAACGUGAUCAUCUGAUCUUCUGGACUCUCUACUAAGAUGCUGGCAGCCUGGCCAGCUGGUCUGGUUCUGGACAUGCCCUCAGGGGCUGGUUAUGCUUUAGUUAUGCUUCAUGACCUGUGUUGCAGUCAGUGUAAGCAGCACCUGCUCCUAGUUUCACUGUUGAGCCAGAUUUCAUCCCCAGCAUGGCUCUGCAGUGCGCCUUCUUCCUGCUUCCUCCGUGGACCCUGCACAGAAUUGCCCCAUGUUUCUAUUUGUGCACCACUGAGAAAGGAAUGCACAGGUCGGGACUUUUCAUUGUCCACCUGGUGCUAGGUCUUACUUCUGGAAUGGCUUCAGCGGCAGAUUCUUCUUUAUAUCCCCUGUCCACAUCUCUCAGGUUUCUGCUCACAAGUCACCUCUUGUAAGGGUCUCUGCCUGUCACUGUGUUUGGAAGAGCUCCCUCAGUUUCUUUCCAGCUCAUCUCACUCAGCUAAUGUCUUGCGUUACCACCAUCAUCUGACCUGGUCUUAUGACCUGUUAGCUUCCUUCAUCAGACAUGAGCACCAGGAUGGCAGGGGCCUCAUCUGUCCUGUUCCUCCUGUGGCCCUGGGUCCUAGCACUGUGUCGUGUACAGUGUAGAGAUGCUCAAGGGCAGUUGACUUUGAAGAACUGUCUACCUGGGAGUUAUUACUGUUAGUCCAAGCUACACCAUUUUGUAAACCCCCAGUCAUUUUGCAGACCCUGGUCAGAGUGAAACAUUCCACGGGAACUCAGGCCAUGAGAAACAGCCUUCCUAACCACCUGACUGCAGAAACAUCCUUAUCACAUUUUGCCGGGCAAAUAUGACUGCAGGAACAUCCUUGCCAUAUCCUGCUGUGCAGCAAGCUAUACCACCCAGACCGCUCCCUCCAGUCCCGUAAUUCCCUCCAGUCCCAUAAUUACCUCUGCCUGUGAGCAGCAGUGGGUGCUGGCACUAAGCUGGUUUCCUUCUCUGCAGGGUUUGCCAGCAAUAAAGGUGUUGCUGUUGAAGCCGC